rnacentral:sRNA from 1 species
AUCUGGCUGCGACACCUGUCACCUCGUUGAUCGCCAGGAUUGAUUCGGCUGAUCUGGGGAAGAACAGCUUUGCUUU